AGUGCAGGAUAGUGUGUAUCGGUGUUAUGCUCUUCUACCAUGCAUUUCUUGCCGAAAGUGUUUCCUGCUACAUUAAGUUUGGAGAAAAUGGGCAGUUGGGUUGCGCCCUGAUCCUUUUAUUGGGUAUCUCGACAAUCAUUUUCCCCAUAUUC